UCUCUCUCUCAGGAAGUUCUUCCUCAUAAAAGCUCUCUCUUUAAAAAAACUCCUCUGCACCCCUGAAGCAACCACUGUCCGCUGUCCAAGAGCUUCCCUGCUCCUUUUCUUCUCAAUGCCGCGCUUCUCUCUCUCUCUGUAGGUUCUUCUUUGGUCUUCGACAUUGUUGGGUAUAAAAUACCCCCCAGCCGAAGUUCGUGAUGGAAGUGACCCUCCGGGGAUCCAACUG
rnacentral:lncRNA from 1 species